GCCAGUGUGGCGUAGUGGUUUGAGUGUUGGACUACAACUCUGGAGACCAGGCUUCGAUUCCCUGCUUGGCU